rnacentral:lncRNA from 1 species
GCAGCACUCAAGCCUCCGCGGCUUCUCCCUGUCGCGCGCCCUCCGUCCUGCGCGCAGCCCUACAGCCCGGCAGCCGCCCACCCAGAGAUGGUUCGGAUGCGGCGGGGAACAGCGAGCGCGUGCACGCUCUCCGGAGCUCUGGCGCUUCCUAAGCCCCGGGCCACGCACCCUGCGCCAGGGUCUGGCCUGGGCGGGGUGGGUACCGCUGGAACCGCUGCUGCGAGAGCAAAAGGACAAUGGGGGCUUUUAUCCUUGCAUCCAGUAAGGACCAAUUACUCGUUUAAUUUGAGGCUAAUUCGAUUAUCGCCAUUGAAAAAGACAGGCUAAUUUUCUCGGUUACUUGUGCAGCCUCUUCUUCCCUGCGACGUUCGCCUUUAGAAAAGGAGUUGCACCGGGAGGUUAGGGUGAGUCGUUUGUUUGCUUGGUUGGAGCUCAGUGAUGAUGUCCAGCUUGAAGACCGAUGACGCUGACCUCUAUGAGAGAAGCUUUGGGCGUUGGAGCCAGUCAUAUGUGUUUCUUCAAACGGUUAAUGGAUUCCUCCAUGUGAAUGCUAUUUUACCUUUCCCCUCGAGGGUAGCUGGGAACAGCCUACAAGUGGUUUAUCCAAUUCUUGCCUCAUGGCUAAGCACAGACUCAACUUUAACCAGAGGCCAGGUGCUUUGCCCUGGACUCCCGGUUAUUAUAGAGGAUCCUUGAGAUGACGUGAACGCUGGAGUUCUACCACCUCCAUUUUCUGACAAUGGACAUUUUCUUGAAUUUAUGUUAAUUGCCCCCCACAAAGCAGCCCACUGGCUAUCUUGUCAGCUCCCAGGCUGUGUAGAAGUCCUGAAACUGCACUAAUGGGAGGGAAAGGAUGGUGAAUCAUCAUUCUAGGAAUAGAAAUGCUCUUUGGAGAACACGGUCUGGAGAAACUGAUUUCCUCCCAUUUCUGUAAGAUCCCCAACUGUGGGCUUUUCAAGGGAAUAUGGUCCUUGACUUAAAAGGCAGUGUUCCCUGGAGAUCUGCCCACCUGCUUAAAAAGCAACCUGGGCUGAUGGAAGCAUAUUUUAGUACUAAAAUAAAACAAAAAAUUGUCAUAGU